rnacentral:rRNA from 1 species
CCUACGGGCGGCUGCAGUGAGGAAUAUUGGGCAAUGCCCGCAAGGGUGACCCAGCAACGCCGCGUGGAGGAUGAAGGCCGUAAGGUUGUAAACUCCUGUUAGAGGAGAAGAAUAGUACCGAUUGGAUCGGUAUUUGACUGUACCCUCAGAGAAAGCCCCGGCUAACUACGUGCCAGCAGCCGCGGUAAUACGUAGGGGGCAAGCGGUACCCGGAUUUACGGGGGGUAAGGGGCGCGAGGAAGUGAGAGGUGAAAUCCUACAGCUUAACUGUAGAACUGUCUUUGAUACUGUUAUUCUUGAGUUCGGGAGAGAGAGACGGAAUUCCAGGUGUAGUGGUGAAAUACGUAGAUAUCUGGAAGAACACCAGUUGCGAAGGCGGUCUCUUGGUCCGAUACUGACGCUGAGGCGCGAAAGCGUGGGGAGCAAACAGGAUUAGAUACCCGAGUAGUC